CCUACGGGAGGCAGCAGUAGGGAAUCUUCCACAAUGGGCGAAAGCCUGAUGGAGCAACGCCGCGUGGGUGAAGAAGGUUUUCGGAUCGUAAAACUCUGUUGUUAGAGAAGAAAGUGCGUGAGAGUAACUGUUCACGUUUCGACGGUAUCUAACCAGAAAGCCACGGCUAACUACGUGCCAGCAGCCGCGGUAAUACGUAGGUGGCAAGCGUUAUCCGGAUUUAUUGGGCGUAAAGGGAGCGCAGGCGGUCUUUUAAGUCUGAUGUGAAAGCCUUCGGCUUAACCGGGGUAGUGCAUUGGAAACUGGGAGACUUGAGUGCAGAAGAGGAGAGUGGAACUCCAUGUGUAGUGGUGAAAUGCGUAGAUAUAUGGAGGAACACCAGUGGCGAAGGCGGCUCUCUGGUCUGUAACUGACGCUGAGGUUCGAAAGCGUGGGUAGCAAACAGGAUUAGAUACCCUUGUAGUC
rnacentral:rRNA from 1 species